rnacentral:tRNA from 1 species
GAGAAGCUAGUUAAAUAUUAUAAUAUAGGAUUGUCAGCCCUAAGUUGCUCCAAGGAGCGCCUCUCA